rnacentral:lncRNA from 1 species
UAGCCGUCUCAUUUACCCAAUGGGUCGGCCCUCCUCCUUUUGUUUCCGCCCCCAAAGAGCCGUUACAGUAUGAUUUUGCGGUAUAAUCAAACCCCGGUGUGCUUGAGGACACAUUGGUCCACCCGGUCCAGUUAAGGUUUCUAUAGACAUUUAUCCCUUGUUGAUUAUUCCCAAAGUGCACGCAUGCUGCACCGGUGUAGUUAAUUGGUGCUACCAAACCCAGAAGGUCAAGCUCUUGCGGGUCCCAGGGCAAUGAUGCAUUCAGCGUGUCAAUGCUCUCUCAGCUUUGGUAGGUCUACGGUCAAAUUCAAUGGGACCCCUAUUAAGCAUGUCUUAAAAGGCUGCCCUGCACCCGCCAGCAUCAGGCAAAAUYGCUUAUUUCCUGUCCGGUUUGCCCAGGUGAGCCAUAGAUUGUUACUACCCCAUUUCGCUAACGUUGGUUCGCCUUUCACCCCUUGGAGUCCCAGUCCCAGCAUCGCUACGAGGAGAGCUACUUGGGUYGCUCCCCCUGCCAUCUUCUCGGGUUUUCUGGUUACGCGUUCUUCUUGUGGUUUCACGCGCCUUUUCUCAUCUGUUCUUCUUCUCCUGUCUGCUGUCUUUGCUGCUAGGAGGGAUCAUCRGCYWUUCAGGGUGGUCCUCCCCUGCAAUAAAGCUCAGACAUUCAUUAAUUCAUCUGACUCUCUGCUUCCUGUCUUGUCCUUCCCCUGAGGUCUGGGCGCACCCACUUUGCAGGGACCCAUCUUACCACUUCUCCCUG